GGGGGAAGGAGACAGGGAUACUGGAGUGAUGGAGGUAGAUAUGUAUAGGGGGAAGGAGACAGGGAUACUGGAGUGAUGGAGGUAGAUAUGUAUAGGGGGAAGGUGACAGGGAUACUGGAGUGAUGGAGGUAGAUAUGUAUAGGGGGAAGGAGACAGGGAUACUGGAGUGAUGGAGGUAGAUAUGUAUAGGGGGAAGGGGACAGGGAUACUGGAGUGAUGGAGGUAGAUAUGUAGAGGGGGAAGGAGACAGGGAUACUGGAGUGAUGGAGGUAGAUAUGUAUAGGGGGAAGGAGACAGGGAUACUGGAGUGAUGAGGUAGAUAAGUAUAGGGGAAGGAGACAGGGAUACUGGAGUGAUGGAGGUAGAUAUGUAUAGGGG
ensembl:lncRNA